rnacentral:rRNA from 1 species
CGGACGGGUGAGUAACACGUGGAUAACCUACCUAUAAGACUGGGAUAACUUCGGGAAACCGGAGCUAAUACCGGAUAAUAUAUUGAACCGCAUGGUUCAAUAGUGAAAGACGGUUUUGCUGUCACUUAUAGAUGGAUCCGCGCCGCAUUAGCUAGUUGGUAAGGUAACGGCUUACCAAGGCAACGAUGCGUAGCCGACCUGAGAGGGCGAUCGGCCACACUGGAACUGAGACACGGUCCAG